rnacentral:rRNA from 1 species
GAUUCCCCCAGUAGCGGCGAGCGAACGGGGAGGAGCCCAGAGCCUGAAUCAGUGUGUGUGUUAGUGGAAGCGUCUGGAAAGGCGCGCGAUACAGGGUGACAGCCCCGUACACAAAAAUGCACAUAUUGUGAGCUCGAUGAGUAGGGCGGGACACGUGGUAUCCUGUCUGAAUAUGGGGGGACCAUCCUCCAAGGCUAAAUACUCCUGACUGACCGAUAGUGAACCAGUACCGUGAGGGAAAGGCGAAAAGAACCCCGGCGAGGGGAGUGAAAAAGAACCUGAAACCGUGUACGUACAAGCAGUGGGAGCCUCUUAAUGGGGUGACUGCGUACCUUUUGUAUAAUGGGUCAGCGACUUAUAUUCUGUAGCAAGGUUAACCGAAUAGGGGAGCCGAAGGGAAACCGAGUCUUAACUGGGCGUUAAGUUGCAGGGUAUAGACCCGAAACCCGGUGAUCUAGCCAUGGGCAGGUUGAAGGUUGGGUAACACUAACUGGAGGACCGAACCGACUAAUGUUGAAAAAUUAGCGGAUGACUUGUGGCUGGGGGUGAAAGGCCAAUCAAACCGGGAGAUAGCUGGUUCUCCCCGAAAGCUAUUUAGGUAGCGCCUCGUGAAUUCAUCUCCGGGGGUAGAGCACUGUUUCGGCAAGGGGGUCAUCCCGACUUACCAACCCGAUGCAAACUGCGAAUACCGGAGAAUGUUAUCACGGGAGACACACGGCGGGUGCUAACGUCCGUCGUGAAGAGGGAAACAACCCAGACCGCCAGCUAAGGUCCCAAAGUCAUGGUUAAGUGGGAAACGAUGUGGGAAGGCCCAGACAGCCAGGAUGUUGGCUUAGAAGCAGCCAUCAUUUAAAGAAAGCGUAAUAGCUCACUGGUCGAGUCGGCCUGCGCGGAAGAUGUAACGGGGCUAAACCAUGCACCGAAGCUGCGGCAGCGACACUAUGUGUUGUUGGGUAGGGGAGCGUUCUGUAAGCCUGUGAAGGUGUACUGUGAGGUAUGCUGGAGGUAUCAGAAGUGCGAAUGCUGACAUAAGUAACGAUAAAGCGGGUGAAAAGCCCGCUCGCCGGAAGACCAAGGGUUCCUGUCCAACGUUAAUCGGGGCAGGGUGAGUCGACCCCUAAGGCGAGGCCGAAAGGCGUAGUCGAUGGGAAACAGGUUAAUAUUCCUGUACUUGGUGUUACUGCGAAGGGGGGACGGAGAAGGCUAUGUUGGCCGGGCGACGGUUGUCCCGGUUUAAGCGUGUAGGCUGGUUUUCCAGGCAAAUCCGGAAAAUCAAGGCUGAGGCGUGAUGACGAGGCACUACGGUGCUGAAGCGACAAAUGCCCUGCUUCCAGGAAAAGCCUCUAAGCAUCAGGUAACAUCAAAUCGUACCCCAAACCGACACAGGUGGUCAGGUAGAGAAUACCAAGGCGCUUGAGAGAACUCGGGUGAAGGAACUAGGCAAAAUGGUGCCGUAACUUCGGGAGAAGGCACGCUGAUAUGUAGGUGAAGCGACUUGCUCGUGGAGCUGAAAUCAGUCGAAGAUACCAGCUGGCUGCAACUGUUUAUUAAAAACACAGCACUGUGCAAACACGAAAGUGGACGUAUACGGUGUGACGCCUGCCCGGUGCCGGAAGGUUAAUUGAUGGGGUUAGCGGUAACGCGAAGCUCUUGAUCGAAGCCCCGGUAAACGGCGGCCGUAACUAUAACGGUCCUAAGGUAGCGAAAUUCCUUGUCGGGUAAGUUCCGACCUGCACGAAUGGCGUAAUGAUGGCCAGGCUGUCUCCACCCGAGACUCAGUGAAAUUGAACUCGCUGUGAAGAUGCAGUGUACCCGCGGCAAGACGGAAAGACCCCGUGAACCUUUACUAUAGCUUGACACUGAACAUUGAGCCUUGAUGUGUAGGAUAGGUGGGAGGCUUUGAAGUGUGGACGCCAGUCUGCAUGGAGCCGACCUUGAAAUACCACCCUUUAAUGUUUGAUGUUCUAACGUGGGCCCCUUACCGGGGUUGCGGACAGUGUCUGGUGGGUAGUUUGACUGGGGCGGUCUCCUCCUAAAGAGUAACGGAGGAGCACGAAGGUUGGCUAAUCCUGGUCGGACAUCAGGAGGUUAGUGCAAUGGCAUAAGCCAGCUUGACUGCGAGCGUGACGGCGCGAGCAGGUGCGAAAGCAGGUCAUAGUGAUCCGGUGGUUCUGAAUGGAAGGGCCAUCGCUCAACGGAUAAAAGGUACUCCGGGGAUAACAGGCUGAUACCGCCCAAGAGUUCAUAUCGACGGCGGUGUUUGGCACCUCGAUGUCGGCUCAUCACAUCCUGGGGCUGAAGUAGGUCCCAAGGGUAUGGCUGUUCGCCAUUUAAAGUGGUACGCGAGCUGGGUUUAGAACGUCGUGAGACAGUUCGGUCCCUAUCUGCCGUGGGCGCUGGAGAACUGAGGGGGGCUGCUCCUAGUACGAGAGGACCGGAGUGGACGCAUCACUGGUGUUCGGGUUGUCAUGCCAAUGGCACUGCCCGGUAGCUAAAUGCGGAAGAGAUAAGUGCUGAAAGCAUCUAAGCACGAAACUUGCCCCGAGAUGAGUUCUCCCUGACUCCUUGAGAGUCCUGAAGGAACGUUGAAGACGACGACGUUGAUAGGCCGGGUGUGUAAGCGCAGCGAUGCGUUGAGCUAACCGGUACUAAUGAACCGUGAGGCUUAACCUU